rnacentral:rRNA from 1 species
UUCCGGUUGAUCCUGCCGGAGGUCACUGCUAUUGGGAUUCGGCUAAGCCAUGCAAGCAGAGGGCGCGGUCGAAAGAUCGUGGCCCCGCACACUGCUCAGUAACACGUAGUCAACCUACCCUUGGGACGGGGACAACCUCGGGAAACUGAGGCUAAUACCCGAUAGGUGAGGGACGCUGGGAUGCCUCCUCGCCCAAAGCUCCGGCGCCCAAGGAUGGGACUGCGGUCUAUCAGGCUGUUGGUGGUGUAACGGACCACCAAACCUACGACGGGUACGGGCGAUGGGAGUCGGAGCCCGGAGAUGGGGACUGAGACAAGGCCCCAGGCCCUACGGGGCGCAGCAGGCGCGAAAACUCCGCAAUGCGCGCAAGCGUGACGGGGGGAUCCCAAGUGCCGUUGGUCUUUCGAUCGACGGUUUUUAGGAAGUCUAAGAAGCUUCCAGAAUAAGGGCUGGGCAAGACUGGUGCCAGCCGCCGCGGUAACACCAGCAGCCCGAGUGGUGGCCACGAUUAUUGGGCCUAAAGCGCUCGUAGCCGGAUCAGCAAGUCCCUUGUGAAAUCGGGCCGCCUAACGGUUCGGCGUGCAAGGGAUACUGUUGGUCUUGAGGCCGGGAGAGGUCGGAGGUACUCCUGGGGUAGCGGUGAAAUGCUCUAAUCCUAGGGGGACCACCAGUGGCGAAGGCGUCCGACCAGAACGGACCUGACGGUGAGGGGCGAAGGCUAGGGGAGCGAACGGGAUUAGAUACCCCGGUAGUCCUAGCUGUAAAGCAUGCGGGCCAGGUGUCUAGUGCUCCUUGAGGGCACUAGGUGCCGGAGGGAAGCCGUUAAGCCCGCCGCCUGGGAAGUACGGCGCAAGGCUGAAACUUAAAGAAAUUGGCGGGGAGCACACAGAGUGGGACCUGCGUCAUUGGAUCCACGC